rnacentral:rRNA from 1 species
GAUGAACGCUGGCGGCGUGCCUAAUACAUGCAAGUCGAGCGAAUGGAUUAAGAGCUUGCUCUUAUGAAGUUAGCGGCGGACGGGUGAGUAACACGUGGGUAACCUGCCCAUAAGACUGGGAUAACUCAGGGAAACCGGGGCUAAUACCGGAUAACAUUUUGAACCGCAUGGUUCGAAACUGAAAGGCGGCUUCGGCUGUCACUUAUGGAUGGACCCGCGUCGCAUUAGCUAGUUGGUGGGGUAACGGCUCACCAAGGCAACGAUGCGUAGCCGACCUGAGAGGGUGAUCGGCCACACUGGGACGGAGACACGGCCCAGACUCCUACGGGAGGCAGCAGUAGGGAAUCUUCCGCAAUGGACGAAAGUCUGACGGAGCAACGCCGCGUGAGUGAUGAAGGCUUUCGGGUCGUAAAACUCUGUUGUUAGGGAAGAACAAGUGCUAGUUGAAUAAGCUGGCACCUUGACGGUACCUAACCAGAAAGCCACGGCUAACUACGUGCCAGCCGCCGCUGUAA